GGCGGUGGGAGCUGGCGGGUCACGGCGGCUGCGACGGGCGCGCCCUCGUGGCCUUACGUGGUCGUGCGUGACGUGCACCCCCGAGCGGGGACGCGGAGGGCGGGAGCGCGGGAAAGGCCGCCUGCUGGGCGGCGGCGGCGGUGGACGCGGUGCCCGCCCCGCAGCAGGGAUUCUCAACAGGGCUAAGGCUGGAGACACCAUUGGUUAUCUCGGUUGUCACAUCACUACUUUGAUGAACCAAAGUUGGCUCCUUGGGUUACGUUGUCAGCACAAGGCUUUGCAGACAGUCCUGUUUCGUGUAGAGAAAAUGAACAUGGCUUUCCAAAAGGAGGAGAGCAUUUAUACAACUUUGUGAUUUUUAAUAAUCAGGACUAUUGGCUUCAGAUGGCUGUUGAGGCAAAUGAUGACUGUCCAC
rnacentral:lncRNA from 1 species